AACGAACGCUGGCGGCGUGCCUAACACAUGCAAGUCGCACGAGAAAGCUCCCUUCGGGGAGUGAGUAGAGUGGCGCACGGGUGAGUAACGCGUGGGCAAUCUGCCCCCGAGCUCGGAAUAACCCCUCGAAAGGGGGGCUAAUACCGGAUAACACUUCGAUCUCCUCGGAGGUCGAGGUCAAAGGUGGCCUCUGAUUCAAGCUACCACUUGGGGAGGAGCCUGCGUCCCAUUAGCUUGUUGGUGGGGUAAUGGCCCACCAAGGCGACGAUGGGUAGCCGGCCUGAGAGGGUGACCGGCCACACUGGAACUGAGACACGGUCCAGACUCCUACGGGAGGCAGCAGUGAGGAAUCUUGCGCAAUGGGCGAAAGCCUGACGCAGCGACGCCGCGUGGAGGAUGAAGGUCUUCGGAUUGUAAACUCCUGUCGAGUGGGACGAAUGCCGUGAGGGUGAAUACCCCUUGCGGUUGACGGUACCGCUGGAGGAAGCCCCGGCUAACUCCGUGCCAGCAGCCGCGGUAAUACGGAGGGGGCUAGCGUUGUUCGGAAUCAUUGGGCGUAAAGGGCGCGUAGGCGGCCGAUCAAGUCGGAGGUGAAAUCCCUCGGCUCAACUGAGGAAUUGCCUUCGAUACUGUUCGGCUUGAGUCCUGGAGAGGGUAGCGGAAUUCCCGGUGUAGCGGUGAAAUGCGUAGAGACCGGGAAGAACACCAGUGGCGAAGGCGGCUACCUGGACAGGUACUGACGCUGAAGCGCGAAAGCUAGGGGAGCAAACAGGAUUAGAUACCCUGGUAGUCCUAUAGCUGUAAACGAUGAGCACUUGGUGUGGCGGG
rnacentral:rRNA from 1 species